rnacentral:lncRNA from 1 species
GUUUCUUCAUCAAAUUUGAUGUGAUUGCCCCGCUGGGUUGCAUUCGUUCCAUUUGAGGGAUCUGAUUGUUUGCCAGUGUUUGAGUUUUGGGUUUCAUAAAUGUCGAGUAAACAAGAAGUUCAGUGUUCAAUUUUCUAUCUUAAAAAGGCUCAGUGUUUGUUUCUUACUCAAUAUGAGAUAUCUACAUUUCAAUUAGAAGUAAACCCAAUUGGCAUAUUCAUAAGUUGAACCCCAGAAUCAUCUAGAUAGGCCAUAAAGUUUGCAUUUGAUUUGAAUGGUCUUGGUGGGAUUGGAAGUAAACCCAAUUGACAUAUUCUAGAGUAAACCCUAUUUGAUUAUCAUGUAUUGAUUUAGUUUGCUGCAAGUCUUUGUUUGGAAGUUUAAGAUUAUCAUGUAAAUGUACAAUCAUAUGAUUCGUCAUAUUCUCUUGUUUAAGAUCAUCAUGUAAAUUGAAUCUUAAUAGUCGAGUAAAUUUGAUCACUUUGUGUCAGGGAGUCAUAACUAAACAGAGUUGAUCCUGACCAUAAUGAACUUGUUUCUGUAGCAAUCAAAUGAACUUGGUAUAAUUCGAAUUUGAUUAUAGCAAUACAAACUUAGCAUUACUGAUACUAUGGAAAAUAGAUUAGUACAUUACUGAUAUCUAGCCAUAC